rnacentral:rRNA from 1 species
GACGAACGCUGGCGGCGUGCUUAACACAUGCAAGUCGAGCGGUAAGGCCCUUUCGGGGGUACACGAGCGGCGAACGGGUGAGUAACACGUGGGUGACCUGCCCUCAGCUCUGGGAUAAGCCUGGGAAACCGGGUCUAAUACCGGAUAUGACUCCAUGACGCAUGUUGUGGGGUGGAAAGCCUUGUGCGGCUGAGGAUGGGCCCGCGGCCUAUCAGCUUGUUGGUGGGGUGAUGGCCUACCAAGGCGACGACGGGUAGCCGGCCUGAGAGGGCGGUCGGUCACACUGACACUGACAUACGGGUCAGACUCC